UGCAGUCGAGCGAGGCUCCACCCUUCGGGGUGGAUGUCCUAGCGGCAAACGGCUGAGUAACGCGUGGGUGAUCUACCCCAGAGAGGGGAAUAACCCGCCGAAAGGCGGACUAAUUCCGCAUACGCUCCACCGUGUAAAGGCGGUGGUGGAAAGGGUUCCGGGCAACCGGCGCCGCUCUGGGAGGAGCUCGCGUCCUAUCAGGUUGUUGGUGGGGUAACGGCCUACCAAAUGCCAAAGACGGGUAGCUGGUGUGAGAGCACGACCAGCCAGAGGGGGACUGAGACACGGCCCCCACUCCUACGGGAGGCAGCAGCGGGGAAUCUUGCACAAUGGGCGAAAGCCUGAUGCAGCGACGCCGCGUGAGGGACGAAGGCUCUAGGGUUGUAAACCUCUUUUCUCAGGGAAGAGCAAGGACGGUACCUGAGGAAUAAGCCACGGCUAACUACGUGCCAGCAGCCGCGGUAAUACGUAGGUGGCGAGCGUUGUCCGGAAUUAUUGGGCGUAAAGGGUCCGUAGGCUGUUUUGUAAGUCUCCUGCGAAAACUCCAGGCUCAACCUGGAGCGAUCGGGGGAUACUGCAAGACUGGAGGCUGUCAGAGGAAAGCGGAAUUCCCGGUGUAGUGGUGAAAUGCGUAUAUAUCGGGAGGAACAUCAGUGGCGAAAGCGGCUUUCUGGGACAGUUCUGACGCUGAGGGACGAAAGCAUGGGGAGCAAACCGGAUUAGAUACCCGGGUAGUCCACGCCCUAAACGAUGGAUGCUAGGUUUGUGGGGUAUCGACCCCCUGCGAGCCAAAGCUGACGCGAUAAGCAUCCCGCCUGGGAGACUACGGCCGCAAGGCUAAAACUCAAAGGAAUUGACGGGGCGCCCGCACAAGCAGCGAGAGCGUGUGGUUUUAAUUCGAUGGUAAGCGAAGAAUCUUACCUGGGCUUG
rnacentral:rRNA from 1 species